UACGUAGGGGGCAAGCGUUAUCCGGAUUUACUGGGUGUAAAGGGAGCGUAGACGGCAGAGCAAGUCUGAAGUGAAAGCCCGCGGCCCAACUGCGGGACUGCUUUGGAAACUGCCCGGCUAGAGUGCUGGAGAGGUAAGCGGAAUUCCUAGUGUAGCGGUGAAAUGCGUAGAUAUUAGGAGGUACACCAGUGGCGAAGGCGGCUUACUGGACAGUAACUGACGUUGAGGCUCGAAAGCGUGGGGAGCAAACAGG
rnacentral:rRNA from 1 species